ensembl:misc_RNA
GAGAUAGAGGUGCUUGGCCAGCUCUCUGGUCUUGUUAACAAGCCUCAUAAUAAAGAUGGAGAUGAUAAG